UUAUAAAAUGAGGUAUUUAAUUUUACAAUGAAAAUGUAAUGUUUUUGUUAAACUAUGUAAAUAGAAAU
rnacentral:tRNA from 1 species